UACGUAGGGUGCAAGCGUUAAUCGGAAUUACUGGGCGUAAAGCGUGCGCAGGCGGUUUUGUAAGUCUGUCGUGAAAGCCCCGGGCUCAACCUGGGAAUUGCGAUGGAGACUGCAAGGCUUGAAUCUGGCAGAGGGGGGUAGAAUUCCACGUGUAGCAGUGAAAUGCGUAGAGAUGUGGAGGAACACCGAUGGCGAAGGCCAGCCCCCUGGGUCAAGAUUGACGCUCAUGCACGAAAAGCGUGGGGAGCAAACAGG
rnacentral:rRNA from 1 species